AUGACUUUAGGGAACAUUAGCCCUGGGCCCAGCAGCCGCCCUGAGUCACUGCCAGUUGCUGGAAAAAGAAAAAUCUCUGCUAUCAACUUGUUUAGUUGCUACUGUUCAGAAAGCUGGGCACAAAACAAACAAACUUAAACACAAACAACCAGAACCCCGAAGCUGUAAAAGCCCCGUCUGCAGCUUCAAGCACAGGUUUCUCCGCUAAGCACCGGGGCUGCGGGAAAGCUGAGCCUCGGGGAGGUGAGAGCAGCAGGUGAGGGUGGAGUGGAGCCGGUGGGCCAGGCUCGGGGAGGAGGCCGGUGCAGAGGAGGCCCUGGCAGCAGAGACCUCCGGGAAGCUGCCUGACCUUGGACCAUCACGUGACUCCCCUGUGCCUCAGUUUCCUCAUCUGUAAAGCAGAGGAGACGCCAGCAGCGCUGAGCUCACGGCCUUGUGGUGAAGAUUAAGAACCCAACGGCCCUCUGGGGGACGCGUCCUAUGGGGCAUGGAGGCUGCCGGACCUUAAACAAACUGAAGCCCCCAAGAGUGGGACUGCCAUGCUCUGAGGAGGACAGAGCGCAGCUCCUGCUAUUCAGAGCCCAAGAUCAGACUGGACCAGUGACUAGUGAGAGCACUCCACGUGUCAGCCCAGGAGCCACGCCUCACCGGAGACUUUGCCAUCUUCACCCGCCACCGCAGAAGCUGGGGAGAACACACACACAUAACAUUUUACAUUAAAAUAAUUAUUUUUUUGGCCUAGCCGGUUUGGCUCAAUGGGUAGAGCAUGAGCCUGCAGACCAACAGGUCCCAGGUUCAGUUCUGGUCAAGGAUAAGUACCUUGGUUGCAGGCUCCUCCCUGGCCCAGGUGGGUGCAGGAGGCAACCAAUUGAUGUGUUUCUCUCACAUCGAUGUUUCUCUCUGUCUUUCCCUCUCUCUUCCACUCUCUCUCUAAAAAAAAAAAAUCAAUGGAAAAAAUAUCCUCAGGUGAGGAUUAACCAAAAAAAAAAAGAAUUGGAAAUAAUUAAAAAAUUAUUAUUAUUAUUUUUACUUUGUCAAAGCACAUGUAUGUGGAGAAGUUAAUAGGAGGUCCAACACGAAUUUACUGAGCACGUGCCCUGUGUACAGGUGCUAUAUGAGUCACCAUGGAGACAGCCAUGAACAAGACCUGGGGGCACGCUGGUGGUGCCGUGGGCAAGGUGAACUACGCACAUAGGCACCGCAUGUGGGCUUGAGAGAUCCAGACAAAGAGACGCCGACAUUCCAAGGACGAGGGUCAGGCACAGUCAUGGAGGUGCUGACCUCUGGCCUGGGCCCUGAGGGCGGGAGAGCCUGGCCAGGUGGAGAGGGAGGCAAUGGCCUCCCAGAGAAGGAUCAAAGCCCCAGCCUGGAAAAGCAUGGGAGGUGUAUGACCAUCAGGGAGAAACACUCCCAGCUGGCAUCCAGAAGGUGAACAAGAGGAGUGGGCUCGGAAAGGUGGGCUAGAAAGGACUUGCCCGGCCAGCGUGGCUCAGUGGUUGAGUGUCAACCUAUGAACCAGGAGGUCACAGUUCGAUUCCCCAUUGGGGCACAUGCCUGGGGUUGCCAAUCAAUGAUUCUCUCUCAUUGUUGAUGUUUCUCUCUCUCUCUUUCUCUCUCCCUCUCCCAAAUCAAUGAAAACAUAGACAUUUUUUUAAAAAGAAAGAAAAGAAACUACGGGGUCCAGAGUUUAUCUUCAGCGAGGGAUGAGGAGCCUUGGAAAGUGUGGGGCAGGUGAGGCAGUGAACCCCGAGCAAAUCAAAACAAAACUCACGCAGGGCCAGGUGAUGCGUUCGUCUGUGGCCCAGCCAGGACCUGAAUUCGGAUUUGUACUGGCACAGGCAGGCUCCUGGACCGCACACUGGCCAGGCAGA